CCGAGCGUGUACCCCCUUGUAAAAAAAGGUGGGUUACCUCCCGUCCUUUGCUGGGCACCCCCUUCCAGUUGGAAGGGGGUUGUUUUCAGACCCUUCUGCUUCGGCGGGGUAACCCGCCGGAACAACCUCAAAAUAUUCUAUUCAAACAGUUCAGUCCGAAAACUUUUUUUGAAAAGCGAAA
rnacentral:misc_RNA from 1 species